UCCUAUAAAAGCCAAAAACUAAAUGAGUCGCCAAACUUGAUCAACUCAAUUAGAACCCACCUACAUCAAAUUUUAGUUCUUGAUCUACAACAGAACAUAGAUUUCAAUGAUGAAACUUGUAAUGCUGUUCCUUUUUCUGGCGGUCUUUGCAACCACGGUAUCUGCUGUAUCUGAUCCCAGUUUUGGCUAUCUGACCCUUGUGGAUAACCACAUGUUUGCGGAUAUGGCGUUCCCGGGGGACAGGACUAGGAUCUCUCAGGGGCAGGAGAGAACCGCCCGAUAAUGGCGAGCUAGUCGAGUGCUCGAUUCUCAGUACUGGUGGAAAAAUAAAGUAGUCGAGAACUCGUCAGUACUGAUGGAAAUAAUAAAAAAAUAACUGAAGU